CAGUGCGCAGGGUCGCCGCGGACAAUGUUCGCUGAGCGGGGCCGCCCUUGGGAAGUCCUAGAUCCUGCUCCGCCGAGCUGCAGUCGCAGAGGUCAGGAGGCGUCCGAAGUUCUGGGGGCCGCCACCAACUUCGCGCCGCAGCCAGUUGCAGAAAGGGCGACCCGGGCACGUCCGCCUUUGCACACCAGCCGGCAACUGGCUGAGCGAGCGGCCAGGCCCGCGGACGCCACGGGCCGCCCAGGCAGCCGCUGGAGCGCGUCCCGAGAGGCGCCGCAUUCUAAGAGGUUGCCGCCUCAACGGCUCUUCAGCGGGAGCGGGCACUGCAGAGGACCACCGCGGACAGUACGCGCCUUGCGGGCGGGAUCUGCACCUGCAUCUGGGGCCUUGGGGCAGUAGGCAAUGCAGUGAACCAUUCAGCCAAAGAGAGCACAGGACGCAGCACCUAUUUCAAUAAUAUUAAAGCUCUCAUAGGAGAGACGAUUAAUACAAUAGAAGCAGAUGGAGAUACAAGGAAGCCAAAUGAUCAUGAAACGUUGAAAGAGAACAGCGGGGAGUUGACAGGACUCCACAAUGGGAAGGAGGAGUGGUAAGAUGCUGCCAUCGAAUUGUACAGUGUAUUUAUUAUGUUUUAACCCACUGGUAAAUUCACCAUCCCACGUUGAUUAGCCAGACUUUACCUGGAGAAGCCAAAGCUCUGCUUCUCAUGCACUACUGAUCCAUGCCUUUACCUUUCUUUGUCCACCAUAGAUCAGGUCCCAGCAGCAACUCUAUCUCUGGCUGUUUUUCAACCACCUCCAGCCACUCCAGCCCUGUGUCCAUACACUGCUGCCUGAGAAAUCUUCAGCCAGACCCAUGUACUGACACUUAACUCUAUGUUCUUUUAGAACAUCCUGUGGAUCUCACUGAAGAGCUUCCAAAUUAGAGCCAUAGAUUCCUGAAACUACAAGUGGAAGAGGCUUUGUUCUGAUUGCACUGUCUUGUGGAAGGCUUCUGAUUGCACAGAACCCAGGGAGGGCCUGACAACACUGAAGUCAGAGCAAGAAGAUGCUGUCCACACAUCAUGGAGUCCAAGGUAGGAGCAAUGGCAAAGACACCCUGUAGCCACACAGUGUUUAUGUUUCUGUUUUGUAUGGUUGAAUACUAGAAAGCAUCUUUGUCUUCAGCAGUGAAUGGGAUGACCCACUAGACAGUCACACACUGAAAGUAGGACACUAUAGAAGCAGGUCUCUAUAACAGCUGGAGGACACUGCUGCUUUUGAAACCUGGGGAGGGAGUUUUGAAUCCAAAAAUAUAUGUCUGAAUGCAGGUCUCUUUAUAGUUUUCAUAUCUUAAUGACCUUGUGUCAAGAGAUCUGAUUCCAUGCCUUGGAGUGUGCUGUGUUUGUAACCACCUUUUCUAGCCCUACGUGGAAAGUUUACCUUUGCCAGGAGAUGAGCUCAUUCUCCCCUUGUCACCAAAAACACUAGCCUUGGACACUGAUUGGUUAUGAGCUCUUUUGCAAAAGACCAGGAGAUCUUAUUUGGAAUUAGUAUUUAUUUCUGCCUAGACUCUUUUUUAUGUAUUUAUUUUAAGUUGCAGUUGGACACAAUACCUUUAUUUUAUUAAUUUUUAUGUGGUGCUGAGGAUUGAAUCUAGAGCCUCACACAUGGUAAGCAAGCACUCUUCCACUAAGCCACAACUCCAGCCCUGCAUAGACUCUUUCUGCUCUCCAACAAAUUACCUGGGUUGCCCAUCUAAGAGGAAGAGAAAUUCCUUCCUCACAGCCCUGGAGACUAUGGAGUCCCAGAUCCAGGUGCUGAGCAUUGGACUGCUGAGGGCAUUCUUGCUGUGUCUGCACAUGGCAGAAGGCAGGAGGACAGGGCGUGGGGUGGGGGGUGGAACUCCCACAGGCACAGCCUGCAGCCAGGAGACAAAAGUUCUUCUGUCAUCUGCCAGGUGGAGGGAGAGCAGUGCACCCACUCUCUGCAGGUUCAGGAUGUGCAGCAGCAUCACCUUCUCUUCCUCACCGUCAACAUCUGGAUAACAGGGCACAGCGAGGACUGGAUACUUCAAGAAUGUUUUGUCCGGGAUGAGUGUGUGCCCCACCAGUGUGGGGAGAUGCAGGGAGAAUAAGAACCUUCUGCAACAGAAUCCAGUUUACAGGAAGAAGAAGAAGAACAGAUACUAAGAGGAAGAGGGGAACUGUGAGAUUAGGAUGGAGGCCAGUGAAUGGUCCAUGACUGGCAGCACAAUAACCAUGGGGGAAUUGGGAAGAGAGGCUCUUCUUUGCUGCCUAUGAGGGUUCCCAGAUGCAGUCUGAAGUGUGGGUUGUGGGACAACAGAAUGGUACAGAUUGAAGUUGGGUGGGAGAUGGAUUGGGGGGCCUGUCCCUUUGCUGGCUGCUUACAGCCAUGGACUUGAGGUAUGGGCAGGAGCUGUCACUGGAAGCAGGAGAAGAUGGAAAAAUCACCGCCAUAGAAGGGGGGGUAGUGUCCAUGGCCGUGUCCUCAGGCAGCACAGUGGGAUGCUGGGAAAGAUGAGCUGAUGACUUUGCUAUGGUGGUUGGGGGGACACUCCUAGCAGAGUCCUGGCCCUGGGUAUUGGGGCUAUGAGUGGAAGGGACUAGAGCAGGUCUUGGAAGGAAUGAGGAGAAGGAGGAAGAGGAGCAGCAGGAGGAGCAGCCAAAGGAGAGGGAUUAUUAGGAGGAGGAAGAGGAGGAGGAGGAGGGAAUGGAGAAGGGGAAAGAGAAGAAAAUGAAGGGGGAAGAGAAGGAGGAGGAAGAGAAAGAGGAGAAGGAGAAUCAAUACACAUGGGGGUUGGGGAUUCCAUUCUUGAAGAGGUAGACUUGGAGGGGAAAGGGACCUGGGUAUGAGGUGUGGGAAUUUGGGAAUUGGGAGGUGCCACAGGUCUUGCCAGGUGUGUGGUUUGAUGAAACACAUUAGGGGUAACACCCACACUGGGACUGGGCCUGAAGGAAAAAAGAGGGUUAGUGGGAGGAGGCAGAGGAAUGGAAGUUGGGAUUUCCCCCUCAUCUUUAUUAGGUGAGGUGGAAGGUCGAGGGAUAGAUAGGUUCAGGGGCCCAGUAGGCUGGAACUCCAACUGCCUGUUGACAAGGAUACUUGGGAUGGGGGAGGGGUCAGUGGGUGGGGGAAGUGGGCCUGCAUUCCAGGCAGGGACUGCAGGUGGGAAGAAAGAAUGGACAGACUGAGUGGUGGUGCAGUCCUCCAGAGACUCUCUUCUGCCCUGUAAGACCUCUGCAUCAGCCUCCAAGUUCUUCCUCUUCGCACUCUGAACCUCCCUCAUCAGGGUGCCUGAGUCUUCCUCUGGACACAAAAGUGGCCGCUUAGCAGGUGGGGGGCAGCCCAUCUUGAUGCCAGGGCUUCAACAAUGUCAGGGCCACCGGCAUGGGCUGUUUUCUUUUCUUGGGCCUCCAGGUAGCAGCACUUUGUGGAUGACAGCUCUGUGAUGGAAGACAGGAAGGCUUUUGGCCCUGCACUCCCUUGAUGGAUGCCUAGGAGCCUGGAGAGAUGGGACAAUCAAGUUCGUCUAGGCUCUCCUUGGCCCACUUGUCCUGCAUUAAGCAGCCCUCAGCAUUAAGCAGGGUGAGCACUCCUUGAGCAGGGCAGUGGGAGCUGCAGGUGGCAGGGCUCCCACAUGACAAGUUCUUGGGAGACACCUGGGCCCUCUCUGGAAUGCUGUUUCCUUCUAGGGGCCAAGAACUGGGCUCCAGUGCACUGAAGUCUCCCUGAGUCUCCAGAGGACAUGUUGGUGUUGCUUUCCCUUUGCUCAGGGCACCCCUCUGCAGAUCCUCCUGCCUCUUUUGCCAUUGGGAACUGCCCUGCUCCUCCUCCUCCUUCAUCUUCUCCUCCUCCUUUCCUCCUUCUCCACCACCUCUUCUUCCACCUCUUUCUCCUCUUCUUCCAGUUCCUCCUCCUCCUCCUCCUCCUCCUGGUGAACCUUGCCUUCUUCACGCUGUUCAUGGGCCCUGAGCUCUGCUUCUUCUGGAUCACCAACAGGGAAGUGAGCUGGUAUCAUGGGCCCCUCAGUCUGGUGGACCUGCUGAUAAAGUGGCCUUCACCAAGGAGUGGCCUGCACUGAGGAGUGGCCUGCACUGAGGAGGAGGGAUCCUUACAGUUGUCCAGGGUUCAAACAUCCACGAGUUCCUAAGUGAUAGGUCUGGCUUUAUGUGGAAGGACCUCCAGGACAGCAGCAGCAGGAUCCCCAGAGAGGAGUGCACCACCUGCAGGAGAGGGUCUCUGUUGCAGCCAGCUACAUAAGGCACCCGAGGUCAGGGAUCUUGGUGGACAUGCCUGCAGGCAGGGCUGAUGGAAGAGGCUGGUACAGCGGGGUGAUUCCUGCGAGGAGUGGGAGCAUUUCAGGCCUGAUGGAUGGGUGUCUGAUGGUCUAAGAGGGCCCAGCAGCGUGGCCUGCGACUGUGCUUGCUCAAUAGACUGCCCAUUGAGGGAACCUGUUGCUCUUCUGAUCCAACAGUAGUCAGAAGUGCAGAGGAGCUCGGCAAUCACCAGCUCCCCUGGAGACCAAAAGCUAAACUCUAUGUUUAACCCUUGUGAUGUGUGGCUGGCACGCAUGACGGAGAAGGGACUUGGGGCCAAGAAGGUUGGUCAAAAGAAGGCCUCCAGGGUAAAGAGACCCUACCCCCACUGUCCCCUCUUGCUCUGAGCUUAGUGCUCCUCCAGACUCUGCGCUGCUUCUUAUCCCACACCCACCACACAAUUUUCUCACCACUUCAAAGGGUCAUUCUGAGGCUGCUUUCCUUUUGGUUAUUUAGGCCGUCGUUCUACAUAAUAUCUCUAUGGAUUCUACUUGACAUGACUGUAGCCAUCCAGAGUUGAAACAACCAUCAAUUGACCCCAAAUAGCUCUAGUCAAUUUUUCCUCCAUAGUUCCCACCAUACUAUCAAUUUAGAAAACCAUUACAGUGGUCCCUGGAACUGUCCCACAGGAUUCUUGAGCCAGUAAUGGUGCCUGACUGUGUGUGAUAUUACUUCAGGUAAAAUAAGUUCAUUUUGUUUGGGAAGAAUUCCCUUUCAUCCUAACCAAAGCAUAUACAUAUCCUUUUCUCUAAACCAUAUUGAAGGUGUGCAGUAUUCUUCCUGUUGCCUAGCGUCAUAUUUCACUUGGGACACCCAAAGUCAGCACUGAGCAGCCCUUUGCUGCCAAACCAGCUCGAUUUUUUCCAAAUACACUACAUGUUCUGCUCAAUAUUUAGACACAUUAGCCCAGUCUUCCUGAGGUUCUGUAGCACCCCUGAGUUUCCAGUUUCAUCAGGCUGCAUGGGCUUCAUGUGGAGGGAGGCGGACCCUGAUCUAGCUUCACCUUUGGAUCCCUGAGCAUCACAGCAGACAAAAGAGGGGGCUCUGGGCACCAUACACUGCUCUAGGGGAAUCUUUAUCCUGAAUUCAUGGAGGUCUCUGAUCCUCAGAACCCCCCCGGGUGUCCAGGGGAGUCAACUCUGUGAUUAAUCCUGCUAUCAGACAUGAUUGCUCCUACUUUUACCCCAUCCCUGGGGUCAAAACAGGGAGAAACCUCUAGCUUUGGUGCCCAGUUGCUCUGUAGCAAGGGUGCCUCCAGGGCACAUCUGCUGGAUAAAUUGCUCAUUAAUAAGAUUUCAUGGGAUGUUUAAACUGGCCUAUUUCAUCUUUACAUGCACAGGAAUAUUGCAUAUGUUCCCUGUGCCACACCAAAUACCAGGCAAGAAGGAGAAAAAUGCAGCAGUUCCAUUUCCCCCACAUCUUUUGCUUUCCUUGGCUUCAGUUACCUGUGAUCAGCAAGGCUCAAAAAGUGUUGUCUUACUCGCAGAGACAAAGACUACAUUCGAACGAAUUUUAUUAGAGUGUAUUAUAACUGUUCCAUUUCACUAUUGUUAACCUCUUCUAGUGCCUGCUCUAAAGUGAGCUUUUUAACUGUGCAUUGUGUAGGAUAAAGCCAUGUAUCCAGGGCUCAGUUCUCAUUAUUUCCAGUGUCCACUGGGGGCCUUUGAACAUAUUACAUGCAGAGAAAGAGGUCUACUGCAUGAGCUGUCGGGGGCCCAGAUAUUCUGUAUUUGAAAUGGUCAGUAAAGCUGCCAUUCCUCAUUUAGCUUGAAGUGGAUCUGAUGGAAAAAAAAAAAAAACCAGAAGCUCUCCACAAUAAUAGCAGCUCACAGGCUCAAACAUCAUACAGAUCUGAAGUGAGGCCUAUCUGAAGGAAGAUGAUAUUUGGGUUUCAAAUACAUAUUGGAUACAGAAGACAGAAAAACUUUAAUAACCUAAAAAUUGAUGUACAUAAUAAAAUAAUCAUUCUCUGGGUAUUGUAAUGAAUUUACCAUGCAUAUUUUAAUUGAUUUUUGUGGUUAGUAAAAAAUAUGCAGGUACAAAUGAGUCAUGUGACAUGUAAUUUUCUCUAGGAUAAUGCUGGCUUAUGCUCAGGGACUCCUUCACCACCCAGUGGGUCCAACCUGACUGGAACACAGACCCAGAGCAGCAGCUGCCAGCUGGAUUGAGACUGUGGGGAAAAUUCAAGUUGCCACAUUCCAUAGUCGCCCAAGCUGGGAUCUGACUGAGUGAAGAAAGACCAUUACUCCACCCGGCUAUUGAGAAUGCUGUCCUUCUCAGCAAGGGACCCAGUGUCCCUAUGGGUACAUGAUGUCCCUAGCAGGGAGGUGAUCCCAGACACCACUUGCUGUCCUCAUCACUUUAAGAGAGUUCCGUUCCUGGAACCUCACUCUCUUAUAUAAUUCUCCUCCUACAGAAAGCCCCAAAAUCAAAAUACUUUUAAAAACACAUGAUUAAGAUCACCACCCUGAGAGUCUUGUCAUACCUCUGCCUGAUUCUGAAGUGGGUCAGAUGUAGAGUAAGAUCCUCCCAGAGGAGUUUUUGCAUACAAGGUCUCUCUUCUUCCCUCUUAUACAUUCCGUCUCAUUCUUUUUGUGACACAAUCAUUACUUGAAUAAAGGAGUUGCUUAUGUUUCUGAAGACACAUAAAGUACAUCAUGCAAAGCAGAGCAAUUUAUCCUGAGGGGGUGUACUUUAUUGAUUCAGAUGGAUUCCUUAUUCUGGAUUACCUCCUCGGUGUUAUGUCUGUAUACGACUAAAAUUAAAUUGUGAACAAAAAUUUUUAAAAGUAUCCAUUAGGACCUAUUAUUAUUGUUGUUGAAACCCAUGAAGCUAUUAUUUAAAAGGAUCACCUCUCCCCUCCUGUAAAACUACCUUCUUUGGAGGUUGAGGAAGUUAAUUAAUCCAAAUCAAUUCCUCUAUAAAGCAUACUGAAGAGCACAAUGAUGGCUGUAAAAGGUCUUUUUUCUGUGAUUGGGACGAUCCUAUUGAAAGUUUGGAAACCAAAUUCAAAACCUAUUCCAAUCAGCAAUUCAAAAACAUGUUGCUUUUUCCCCCUUUUUAGUCACCAUACCCAGAGGAAUAUAUAUUUUAGUAAUGUUACUAUAUCUUUAGUACCACAACUUACACAAAAUUCGAUCCACUUUUUUAAAGUCUUAGAACUAGUUACUCAUGGCUUUGCAAGACUCACAGGUGAUUAGAAUUUGAAGAUUGAAUGAAAAACCAUCAGAGGCCAGGCUUGUCUGGGCAGGAUUAGAUAUUUAAGUUAUUUAGAUAUGUUUCAUUUCCUAGGGAAUAAUUUGCAUAUCUUUCCAGCCACACUGAUCAUUUCAAAUCAAAGGAAAGACACAUCCAGCUCUCAAAGCAUAAUGUUUAUUAGACAAAUUCAAAAUUACACACCUGAACAUAGUGAAAAAAUACUCAGUUAAACCCUUUCAAAUUGAGUUUGCCUGGAGUAUUGCAAUCAAGCCCCCAGGACUUCGGGAGACAGCCUGAAGGACAGAUCAGGGUAUUUCUGCAGGAAUAAGGGUCUCACUCACCUGUGAUGGGGAGGGGAACCCUACACUUUCAGAUCUCACUGUCUGAAACUGCUCAGCAGUCAUUGAAGACGCCCCUCCCAUCACUGAUUGGAUCCUGUGUUGAUGACAUUCCUCUGAGCCCUCACUCUAUCUCUUUCCAUAGAAGAGGAAGAAAGCAAAAAUGAAAGUUCUGUUUCAUCUCCUGGAAAACUGAAACACCAAGGCUCUAACUAAACAUGUCUUUAAUUUCCUCAUGUGUUCAUGUGAAGAAAAAAACACAAAUUAACCACUGAAUACAGCUUGAAGCC
rnacentral:lncRNA from 1 species